GCAGUGACUGUAUGAUGAGCGGUAAAAUAGCGUUUUUAGCGCUAGGUGCCGGCCGCUCUAUCGGUCUCCUGGCCCCUGCUGGCCUCAGGCUGCUAUGCAAAUGUCCUCCCGCGCUGGCCUAUCCCUUCAUUUUAAAGACAAGGGACUUAGGGCCCCGGUAAAUGGCUUUUCUUUAGUGAGCGGUGGGGGUGUGGGCUCAGGUGUCCUAUUCGUCUUUCCCUAAGCUGCGAUUUCCCAAUAACCAAGUCUCCCCCGGUCGCCGCAGCCCUAACUCACUGUCCUCUCUGCUUUCUGCAGAAGUCGCUUCUGCCCAGCAACAUGGAAAUGCGAUUAAGGAAAACCCACGAGGACAUCCGGGGCCUCCUCUUCCAUCCUGCCGGGCUGCAAUGUAGAAGACAAGUGUGGAAUGUUGGAAGAUCUUGUACCGAGAUCAUGGCCUAACACCGCAGGUGUGCCAUAUGAAAGCCUCGCUUUAGAAUUCCUGACGUGUUCUACGAAGAUGAAAACACGGGUUUUGAAAAACAAGUCCAGGAAGAUUGCAUCAAGUUCAGCAGCCGAGCGGACUGAGCGGCUUGAUCUGGCCCUUCAGCCUGGCAGUUCCUCGUGACACCCUGCGAUGGCCAAUGGAGAGCAGCCUUCCUCUGCACAGGACAUGUGAUUGUUGCAACAUCUUUCCCCCUUGGAUUGCCAGCGGACCUUGUCAAAAACCAACUGACUGCAAGUCGCUUCUUGCUGUAUUGGAAGUUUUGUUCUGUUUCUCUUCAUAUGACCCUUAUAUCACACUCUCUUCCUUACUGUGGCUUUAGAUUUUCAGAUCACGUAGCAUAGGUUCUCUAAAUUUGACCUUGUUUCUCAAGAUUGUUUUUGGCCAUCUUGGGUUCUUUGUAAUUUCCAUUUAAUUUUACAUUUUAGGAUUGGCUUGCCAAUUUUGAAAAAAUAUGCCUGUGGAAAGUUGAAUCAGAGUGCUUUGAAUUCAUGUAUCAGUACUGCCAUGUUGAUCACAGUGAACCUUCCAGACUAUGAACGUGCAAUGUCUCUCCAUGUAUUUCAAUCUUCUAGCAUUUCUCUUAGUAAUGUUUAUAUUUUCCAUGUAUAAAAUUUUAUUUUCCAGUGCAUAAAAUCUUCCACUUUAUUUGUGAAACCUAUUCCUAAGCAUUUUAUUAGUUUUAUUAUAUUGAAAAUGUAAUUAUUUUCUUAUUUUCAUUUUCAUAUCCUUUUGUGCUAGAGGAAAGCCAGUGAUAGUUGUGUAUUGAUUUCGAAUCAUGUGAUUAUGCUCAAUGUAUUAGCACUAAUAACUUUUGGUGGGUUUCCUAGGAUUUUCUACACAGAGAAGAAUGCUGCUCCGAAAUCAAGACAGUUUUAUUUCUUCCUUUUGAAUCUGGAGGCUUGUUGUUUUCUUUUUCUUGCUAGGGUCUGCUGGCUGGAAUCUAGGAAAUUGCCAAAGAGGAGAGAGCAAAGAUUUUUGCUUCAUUCAGUCUCGGGGGAAAAGCCUUCAGCAUUUCUUCAUUAAGAAGGAUGUUGGCUGUAGGUUUUCCAUAGAUACUUUUAAAAUAAUUUAUUUUAUUUGAAAUGUAGAGAGAAAGAGAGAGACAGAGACAGAGAGAGCUCCCAUCUCUAGUUCACUCCCCAAAUGCCCACAACAGCUAAGGCAGGGCCAGGCCAAAGCCCGGAGCUGGGGGCUCAACCUGCGUCUCCCACGUGCGUGGCAGAAGCUCACCCCUUGAGCCAUCACACUGCCUCCAGGUUGUGCAUUAGCUGAAAGAUGGAACCAAGAGCAGAGCUGGGACUUGAACCCACACACUCCUAGAUGGGUUGUAGGUGUUCUGAGUGGCUUGCUAAUCACUACCCCAAGCACUCCCCCCAACAAAGAUUCUUAGAAGUGAAAGAGGGAGAAGAGACCCGAGUGCUGUGUUGUACAGAGCACCUGACCCCCCACCGAUUGCUGUGAAGAUGGGGGAAGGAAGGUGUUCCUGAGCCAAGGCAAGCUUCCUCUAGAAGUGGAGAAACCAAGGAGACACACUGCCCCCUGGAGACUUCAAGAGAGAGUGCAGGUAUGCCGACACCUCACCUUUCCCCCACUGAGGCUCAGACCCAGCAUUAGGCUGUGCUUUAUAGAACUGUAGGAUAGGCGCUGUGCACUGUGGUGUGGCGUUGUGGCAUAGUGGCAGUGGGCAAAGCUGCUUCCUGUGAAUCUCCCAUCCUCCGGGCGCUGGUUCCAGUCCUGGCUGUUCCACUUCCAAUCCAGCUUCUUGCUGCUGUGCCUGGAGGAAGCGGUGGAAGGUGACCCAAGUCCUUGGGCCCUGAACCCACAUGGGAGACCUGGGUAAAGCUCCUGGCUUCGGCUGGCCCAGCCCUCCCCACUGCACCUGGGGAGUGAAGAGCAGAUGCAAGAUUCAAGAUUCUCUUUCUCUCUGUACCUUGCCUCUCUUUCUCUGUAACUCUUACUUUCAAAGACACAGACCAAUCUUAGAAAACAGAACUGUAGGAUAAUAAAUGUGUUGUUUUAAGGCCAUACAUUUGAGGGAAUGGCAGCAAUAGAAGACGAGUAUGUGAAAUUAUCACAUUUUCUUUCUCCUUGAGUCACUUUGGCUGUCUUUCGAGUAAUUUGUCCAUUACACCAUGAUUGUCUGGUUUGUUGGCAUAAAGUUGUUCACAGUGUUCCCUAACAAUGCUUUCACUUGCUGUCAAUAGUGAUGUCCCCUCUGUCUCCCUGUGUGGCUCUCGCUCUCUCGGCCUUGGCCAGCGCAUCUAAAGAUUUCCCAGUUUUGUUGAUCUUUCAAAGAACUACAUUGGCUUGACUUUUUUUUUCCCUAUUUUUCUAUUUCGUUGACUUCUAGUCCACUUAUUUAUUUCAAUCCUGCUUGUUUUAGGUGUAGUCUUUUUUUGUUUGUUUGUUUCUUAAGGUGGUAGCCCUGGUUGUUAAUUUGGCCUCUUUGUCCUGUUAUAGGUAUUUCUUUCUUUUCUUUUUUAAGGUUUAUUUAUUUAUUUGAAAGGCAGCAUUACAGAGAGGUGGAGGCAGAGAGAGAGAGGUCUUCCAUCUGCUGGUUCACUCCCCAGUUAGCUGCAAUGGCUGGAGCUGCACCGAUCCGAAGCCAAGAGCCAGGAGCUUCUUCUGGGUCUCCCACGCAGGUGCAGGGGCCCAAGCACUUGGGCCAUCUUCUACUGCUUUCCCAGGCCAUAGCAGAGAGCAAGAUCGGAAGUGAAGCAGUGGGGACACGAACCAGUGCCCAUAUGGGAUGCUAGCACUGUAGGUGGUGGCUUUACCCACUAUGCCACAGCACCAGCCCCUGUAGUCCUUUUAAUCUCUAAGUUUGCCUCUACCUGCUGCUUUAGCUACAUCCCAAAAAUCUUCAUAUGUUGAGUUUUUAUUACUAUGCAAGUCAACAUAUUUUAUAGUAUCCUUGAUUUCUUCUUUAAAUUUUUUUAAAAAUUUAUUUGAAAGGCAGAGAGAGAGAGAGAAACUUCCAUUUGCUUGUUUACUCCCCAGAUGACUGAACCAGUGAUAGGCCAGUCAGGAGCCAGGAACUCCCAUCUGGGCCUCCCACAUGGAUGGCAGGAACCUAAGACCUUGGGCCAUCAUCCAUUGCCUCCCCAGGGAUAUUACAGGAAGCUGCAUCAGAAGUGGAGGACCCAGAAUUCAAACCAGCACUCUAAUAUGGGUUGCAAGCCUGCAAGUGGUGUCUUAACCCACUGUGCCACAAUGCAGCUUCCUUUUCUUUAUGUGGAUCUGAUAUAUCAUCUGGUGUUACUUAAUUCCUACCUGAAGAACUUAAUUUUCUUAAAUACUGCACUUUUUGGAGGAUAACUCUUUAAAAUCAAUUUUCAUAUCAUAGAAUUUUACAUAAAUGAAGUGGCACUCCAGGGUCUGCUUUUUCUGGAUUCUUCCACACAAUAUAGUUAUUUUUGAAAACUAAAAGUUUGCAUCUAAGUAAUAUUAUCUCUUACCUCUAUUUUGCAAGAAGUUGUUAAUUACCUUCAUAUCUGAUUUUUUGAACUAACUGAAAUGUUCUUUUUCAUAGACUAUUUCAGUCUCAGAAAAACCAUUAAGAAAGGACAGCUCUAAAAUGGUUAUUCUUUUUUAAAAAAUAUUUAUUUGAAAGGUGGCAUUACAGAAAGAGGGAGCAACAGAGAGACAUCUUCUAUCUGCUGUUUUACUCCACAAAUGGCUGCAGUGGUGGGUGCUGGACCAGCCAGCAGGCUAAUACUCGAUCCGAGUCUGCAACAAGGGUGGCAGUGGCCCCAGCAUUUGGGGGCCAUCUUCUGCUGCCUUUGCAGUGCACUGGCCAGGAGCUGAACUGGAACAGAGCAGCCAGGACUUGAAUUGGUGCUCUGAUACAGGACGCUGGCAUCCCAAGGGUGGGCUUAUUCUGCUGCACCACAACACUGGCUCCUAAAUUCAAGAAAUUUUUACAGUCAUGACUACAUUGGUUCAAACUGAAAACAGGUACCACUCUGCUAAGGAAUACCCUUUGCCUGUGCAGGCUAAGUGGGACAGACCCUACUUGUCUCAUGAAUGGGGUUCUGUGACACAGACCUGGCCCACUGGGGCUUUGCUUGGGUUCUGUGAGUUGGGGUUCCCAGCUUUAGAGAUAAGACAUCCACCACUCCAUACACUUUCACAGAAAACUUUUCCCAAUUUUUUUCUUUGGUUUCAAUUUUCGUGUUGGGUGACUACUUAGUAACAGAAGGUACAGAUGCAGUCAUUUUGCUGGGUUUCCUUGCAGAGGAUGGUUAACAGUUUCAUUGCCUCUGUAGUUUUCAAAGUGGAAAUAUUUUUACUGCUUUUAGGAACUGAAAAAUACAUCAGUGUUCUUACAAAGUAUUCACAUAGUACAAAAACACACAAAAUAUACAGCCUUAUAACCACCUACAGCAGUAUAUGUAUAGGAAGGCUUCAGACACAAAUAUAAUACAUGAAAUUAAAACUAUUUACAGUUAUAAAACCACCAAAAAUAGGAAUUUAAUGAACAUUUUUUAAAAAGAUAAUUUAUUUGAAAGGCAGUGUUAAUUGAGAAAAGUCUUGCAUGUGGUGGUUCACUUCCCAGAUGGCUGUAACAGCUGGGGCCGGGCCGGAUUGAAGACAGGAGCUGAGAGAUUCUUCUGAGUCUCUCAUGUGGGUGCUCUGCUGGUUUCCCAGGCACACUAGCAGGGAGCUGAUGAGAAAUGGAGCAGCUGACACUUGAACUGGCAUCCGAAUGGGUUACUGGCAUUGUAGGUAGUGGCUUAGCCUGCUAUGCCUCAGCGCUGGCCCCAAAGUAUCCACAUGGUCACAACAGGAGGAUUAAGAGAAGUUGCAAGGAGUCCAUGAGAUUGAAAAUUCUCCUCCCCCCUUUACAAAUUAAAUGACAGAAGUAAGUACUUCACUUAGCAGUAUGUCAUACGUAUCCUAAGACACAGCUAGGGAGUUUGCAAGUAGCUGCUCUCAGACAGUACAGUCUGGUGCUAUACCGGCAUGCAGGAGUAACUGCUUUGAUGACACGCUUUUCUUUUUGAGGUCAAAUACAUUACUGAGGAGUCUGACAGGAUGGGGAACUUGAAGACGCUUGGAGCUUACUGAAAUCCAAAUUGCUCAGCUGGAUCUUC